UACGUAGGGUGCGAGCGUUGUCCGGAAUUAUUGGGCGUAAAGAGCUUGUAGGCGGUUUGUCGCGUCUGCUGUGAAAAUCCGGGGCUCAACCCCGGACUUGCAGUGGGUACGGGCAGACUAGAGUGUGGUAGGGGAGACUGGAAUUCCUGGUGUAGCGGUGGAAUGCGCAGAUAUCAGGAGGAACACUGAUGGCGAAGGCAGGUCUCUGGGCCACUACUGACGCUGAGAAGCGAAAGCAUGGGGAGCGAACAGG
rnacentral:rRNA from 1 species